UACUUUCGCACAUCUUAUUUCCUUGUGUUUCUAUCCACGAUAUAAACAUUAAACAUCAUUAUCGUUCUUUUGUUUUAUCUGUAUGCUUUUGAGAAAAUGUUCUCUCUUAGAAGUUCCGGAGAAAAGUCAUCAACUUAGUUACCUGGUUUCUAUGUGGACGACUCAUAUAUUUUCUCCUUUAGUAUGUUUCCCUUUUCACUUUAUUUUGUAUUACAGGGGAAGGAACUGCGAUUGAAUUGAAGCAACAAUAUAUGUCUUUGUCUCUGAUAGUCAUUC
rnacentral:lncRNA from 1 species